rnacentral:rRNA from 1 species
CGGGUGAGUAACGCGUGAGAACUUACCUUUUGGCGGGGGAUAACAUCGGGAAACUGUUGCUAAUACCCCAUAAUGCUGAGGAGCGAAAGGGAAACUGCCAAAAGAGAGGCUUGCGUCUGAUUAGCUAGUUGGUGGAGGUAAAUGCUCCCCAAGGCGACGAUCAGUAGCUGGUCUGAGAGGAUGAUCAGCCACACUGGGACUGAGACACGGCCCAGACUCCUACGGGAGGCAGCAGUGGGGAAUUUUCCACAAUGGGCGAAAGCCUGAUGGAGCAAUACCGCGUGAGGGAUGAAGGAUCGUGGUUCGUAAACCUCUUUUCUUAACGAAGAAGUUCUGACGGUAGUUAAGGAAUAAGCACCGGCUAACUCCGUGCCAGCAGCCGCGGUAAUACGGGGGGUGCAAGCGUUGUCCGGAAUGAUUGGGCGUAAAGCAUCUGUAGGUGGUUUCUAAAGUCGACUGUUAAAGCCCAGGGCUCAACUUUGGAUAAGCGGUCGAGUACUUAGAAACUUGAGUUUGGUAGGGGUAGAGGGAAUUCCUAGUGGAGCGGUGAAAUGCACAGAGAUUAGGAAGAACACCGAAGGCGAAAGCACUCUACUGGGCCACAACUGACACUGAGAGAUGAAAGUCGGGGGAGCGAAAGGGAUUAGAUACCCCUGUAGUC